rnacentral:lncRNA from 1 species
ACUUUCCUGACCUUCAUAAUGUCUGAAGCCUUUAACUUUCUGUGAAGGACUGAGAAUAAAAAUUAUUUUGCAGAUGGGGCUACCAGAGGAUAUUUGUCAUGGGCUUAAGAUUAUUUCAUGAAGAUUCACACUGAAACACAGCUCUUCCUGGGUCAUGAGCCUGCUGGUCUUCAGAUUGGAACUACACUAUCAGCUUUCCUGUGUCUCCAGCUUGCUGACUGUGAAUCUUUGGACUUGGGACUUGUCAGCCUCCAUAAUUUAUUGAGCCAAUUUGGUAUAAUAAAUCUCUCUCUCCCUCUCUCUCUGUAGGUAUAUAUUAUUUGUUCUGUUUCUCUGUAGAACUCUAGUAUAUCCCUUUCCCAGGGUUUGUUGUUGUGGCUAUUUGUUUGUUUAAUGACUUUCUUGAAGUAAUUCAUACAGUUGUACUCUUUGUUGUGUGCUGCCCAUGUAGUCUCUACUUGGUUAGUUUAGUGGUCAGCUAAUGAUUGAACAGACAUUUGCUUAAAUUCCAGGACCAAUAAAUCUCCCUCCCACACUUUGCUGAGAGGCUGUGUGUGUGUGUGUGUGUGUGUGUGUGUGUGUGUGUAUGUGUUGGGACACACCUUCAAUUCUAGGGAAGUUCACAACUCUGCCUUAGUCUUCACUUCUUGCUUGUACAGAACUAACUCUCAGCUAGAGUUGAGAGAUUAGGGCCUCUUCAGGUCUUUCCUGAUCAUACACACAGUCCUGCAAAUGCACAUGGCUAUCUAGAUUCCCAGGAGUAUGUCAAAACUUUUCAAAAUCUCCUACAGACCUCUAAUGACCCACACUUACCAUUUAAUUAUUUUGGUUAGCCUCUUGUUUGCCCCAGCUUGGAGUACUGCUUCAUGCAGCUGCAAUAAUAAACAAUUGCCACUGACUGUUUUCAACAAAUGGUUUGGGUAUUGAGCUUUUCUCAUGGAGUGAACUCUGAGUCAGGUCAAAUAAAGAAAAUCUUUCUAAUUUUUUUUAAGGGAGCUGACAGAUCAAACAGUGGUAAUUCUCUCCGUGUAAGGCUUUUGGAGGAGAUCCAAACCCAGCCCUGUUCAGUGGCUGCCAGGAUUUUGGUUUUCACAGCCACCAUGACUGUGAGGCUCCCAGAUUUCAAAGCUACCACAUAGUUGGAGAGAGGAAAACAGGAAUGGAGCAAGUUAAAAC